UACAGAGGUCUCAAGCGUUGUUCGGAUUCAUUGGGCGUAAAGGGUGCGUAGGUGGUGAGGUAAGUCGGAUGUGAAAGCUCGGAGCUCAACUCCGAAAUGGCAUUGGAAACUACCUUGCUCGAGGGUUGGAGGGGGGACUGGAAUUCUCGGUGUAGCAGUGAAAUGCGUAGAUAUCGAGAGGAACACCAGUGGCGAAGGCGAGUCCCUGGACAUCUCCUGACACUGAGGCACGAAAGCUAGGGGAGCAAACAGG
rnacentral:rRNA from 1 species